UGGGGAAUAUUGCACAAUGGGGGAAACCCUGAUGCAGCAACGCCGCGUGAAGGAAGACGGUUUUCGGAUUGUAAACUUCUGUUCUUAGUGAAGAAUAAUGACGGUAGCUAAGGAGCAAGCCACGGCUAACUACGUGCCAGCAGCCGCGGUAAUACGUAGGUGGCAAGCGUUGUCCGGAAUUACUGGGUGUAAAGGGAGCGCAGGCGGGAGACCAAGUCAGCUGUGAAAACUACGGGCUUAACCUGUAGACUGCAGUUGAAACUGGUUUUCUUGAGUGAAGUAGAGGUUGGCGGAAUUCCGAGUGUAGCGGUGAAAUGCGUAGAUAUUCGGAGGAGCACCGGUGGCGAAGGCGGCCAACUGGGCUUUAACUGACGCUGAGGCUCGAAAGUGUGGGGAGCAAACAGGAUUAGAUACCC
rnacentral:rRNA from 1 species